rnacentral:lncRNA from 1 species
AAUGUAACAGGAGCGGAUCGUUUGUCGCGAACAGGUGACUCUCCCGUCACGAUACAGACGGCGUACAUACGUUUAGUUUUUAAACGCUAAGAAACAAAGCCUCCCUCGUCAAUAAACAAAACCAGUCCCUUUGUUCUUUUCUUUCGGAAAGGUGCAAAAGAAUACGUUAAAAGCUAAAUUCGUUAUAUAUAUAUUUCAAUUGUAAUGAUUCAUUCAACAGGAUUCGAUCUGAAUAAACAUAAAAAAUAAAUACAAUAAGAAAAUCUUGAAAAAAAUGUUAUUUACGCAAUUCUUUAAAAAAUUGUUAUUCGAAUAAUAAAAUAAAAAUCAGAGUAAAAGUUUAACAAGAUAAUCUUCUCGUGAUCGUUCGCACGAGUAGUUUAUUCAAAAAUGUUUCUGUAUUAACGGAAUAGAACGAUAGGCAAUAGGAAAAGGAAGUAAAAUGGGCAGAAAGUCUCGUGAGAGCGAUAAUCGUAAAAUGUGCGAGAGAGAGAGAGAAAGAUAGAGAGUGUGUACGUUUGUGUGCAUGCGUAUGUGUAUAUAGGGGUAGUGUGCGUGAGAGUAGUAUUCAUGGUGGGUGGUUAAAGUGUCAGGGCGAAAGCAACGAUACAAGUUCGAGAUGCAUGGUACUCGAGAGCGAUCGAGAUCUAAGGGGAAACCUGAAAGUUCGCGUGCGAGCGACUAAUAAAGCGGUUGUCCGGUAAAAAAAACAAGGGACGGAGCAAAAAUAUAUUUAUUGAAAUUGAAGUAUUAUCGUGUGUGUUCAAAAA